CAGCGGCUAAAACAAGAAGGGAUGGAGAUGAACUGAUAAGACAGGGCAAUAACAUGCAGUUUUUCCACUACAUAAUCCUUUAGGUCUAAUGCAGAUGGUGGUCUUCAUACGCAAAUAAGUCCGGGCUCUCGGCUUGUCUUGUUUGCUUUUCCCGCCUGAAUUUAUAAUGCAGACAAUACAAGAUAAGCUCAGGAUUUAGGAUGAGUGUAAUGUUUCUCUGACAUAUGGCUAUUUGUCUUUGUUCUCGCAGAAAUGUCGUUGGGUUUCAAGUCUCUGUUUACGUUUGCGAUAAAGCCACUGGCCUGCCCUUUAGUGACCUUAAAAGCCAUCGAUUGUAUCCUGUAUUGUAUUGAUGUGCUUCUUUAGGAUUGUUGUGCCUUUAAAGCUGUACAUUUGCAAUCCACAAACGUGACAUCAAGGCAACGGGGCUUCUUUUGGUUGUUGUUAUUGCAACUUUAAUCCAAAAGGUAAGUAACAAGCCUAUUGUCUUGAGCGAAAUGAAUGGCCCAUUUAAUAGUACCAACAGAGGGCAUUUUUCCACAGUAAAUUCAUUCAACUUUGGUGGAUUACCAUAACCUGGAUAACUGAAAAUAUACACAGACACAGUCAUGGCUCGCAAUAUUGCUGAAAUGAGGGAAGUGCUUAAAAAACUGUUAAACAAAUACAUUUAUCCCAUGAGAAAUGUAAAUUUAAGGUCACAUUUUGAAGGUAUGAUUUUUGACUUAACUGAAAACAGGAAGGUGGUGGUGACUGAUGACUGCUACGUGAUGCCUUUGAGAACUGUCACGUCUUCAGUGCAGGAAGGAAGAGGGUUCACUCACUGAGAACAACGGCGAAUGGAGGGACACCUCUUGUUACUCACAGAGUCUCUGUCUCAAAUGCCGCAGUGCCAGUGUGGGAAAAUCAAUAUUAAGCAAGGAGGAAUAUACAUCGAGGCAGAAGAGCAAGUGGAGAGGAGGAACAGGCUGGGUCCGCCUGUCAGGUCGGCUAAUUGAGAAAAAGUGACAGAAGCAUGAAGACACAGAAAGGGAGGAGAGAAGAUGAAACGUGUUUGGGAGGAGGAGGGGCAGCAUGGCGGUGCAUCUCCUCAGGUUUGACUAAUUGAAAGGAAAGGAUGCAAGACUGCACAUGAGAGAGCGAGAG